CCUACGGGGGGCAGCAGUAAGGAAUAUUGGUCAAUGGACGCAAGUCUGAACCAGCCAUGCCGCGUGGAGGAUGAAGGUCCUCUGGAUUGUAAACUUCUUUUAUUUGGGAAUAAACUCCCGAUUUCCAUCGUGAUUGACGGUACCAGAUGAAUAAGCACCGGCUAACUCCGUGCCAGCAGCCGCGGUAAUACGGAGGGUGCAAGCGUUAUCCGGAUUAAAGGGUGCGUAAGGGGGCAGGUAAGUCAGUGUAGAAAUAUCCGUGCUUAACCCGGAAACUGCCAUUGAUACUAUUUGUCUUGAAUACUCUGGAGGUGAGCGGAAUAUGUCAUGUAGCGGUGAAAUGCUUAGAUAUGACAUAGAACACCCAUUGCGAAGGCAGCUCACUACGGAAAUAUUGACGCUGAGGCACGAAAGCGUGGGGAUCAAACAGGAUUAGAUACCCCAGUAGUC
rnacentral:rRNA from 1 species